UACGUACCGGACGAACGUUAUUCGGAAUUACUGGGCUUAAAGAGUGCGUAGGCGGUCUGACAGGUUGGGUGUGAAAUCCCUCGGCUCAACCGAGGAAUCGCGCCCAAUACCGUCGGGCUCGAGCGAGAUAGGGGUGAGCGGAACUGAUGGUGGAGCGGUGAAAUGCGUUGAUCUCAUCAGGAACACCGGUGGCGAAAGCGGCUCACUGGGUCUUCGCUGACGCUGAGGCACGAAAGCUAGGGGAGCAAACGGG
rnacentral:rRNA from 1 species